rnacentral:rRNA from 1 species
AUUGAACGCUGGCGGCAGGCCUAACACAUGCAAGUCGAGCGGAUGAAGGGAGCUUGCUCCUGGAUUCAGCGGCGGACGGGUGAGUAAUGCCUAGGAAUCUGCCUGGUAGUGGGGGAUAACGUCCGGAAACGGGCGCUAAUACCGCAUACGUCCUGAGGGAGAAAGUGGGGGAUCUUCGGACCUCACGCUAUCAGAUGAGCCUAGGUCGGAUUAGCUAGUUGGUGGGGUAAAGGCCUACCAAGGCGACGAUCCGUAACUGGUCUGAGAGGAUGAUCAGUCACACUGGAACUGGGACACGGUCCAGAUCCCUAGGGAAGGCAGCGGGGGGAAUAUUGGACAAUGGGCGAAAGCCUGAUCCAGCCAUGCCGCGUGUGUGAAGAAGGUCUUCGGAUUGUAAAGCACUUUAAGUUGGGAGGAAGGGCAGUAAGUUAAUACCUUGCUGUUUUGACGUUACCAACAGAAUAAGCACCGGCUAACUUCGUG